GAAGGAUCAUUGUCGAAAACUGCCCAGCAGAGCGACCCGCGAACUGGUUUAACAAAACGAGGGGCGAGCGGGGGCCCCUGUGGCCUUCGAGCGCCUCUGCGCCGGCGGGAGGGACGGAGGGCUCCGCCGUCCUUCUCUCCCGCCUGCUUAUAACAACCAACCCCGGCGCGAGACGCGCCAAGGAACAUGAAUAGAAAAGAGCGUGCUGCUUCGGGCCCCGGAAGCGGUGUGCUCGGGCAUGCGUCGUCCUCUUUCGAGAAACAAAACGACUCUCGGCAACGGAUAUCUCGGCUCUCGCAUCGAUGAAGAACGCAGCAAAAUGCGAUACUUGGUGUGAAUUGCAGAAUCCCGUGAAUCAUCGAGUUUUUGAACGCAAGUUGCGCCCGAAGCCUUCCGGCCAGGGCACGUCUGCCUGGGUGUCACGCAAACGUCGCCCCCAACUCCUCAUUCGAGGGGGCGGAGGCGGAUGCUGGCCUCCCGUGGGCCUCUGCGCCUGCGGUUGGCCUAAAAUUCGAGUCCCCGGCGUCAUCGCCACGGCAAUCGGUGGUUUUAUAGGCCCUCGUGAACCGUCGUGCGCGAUCGUCCGCUGCGGGGACCCCUUGGGACCCCGAUGCUGCCUCCUCUAGGAGGCGGUUCUCCGAAGGCGACCCCAGGUCAGGC
rnacentral:rRNA from 1 species